rnacentral:tRNA from 1 species
UCUGAGGUCGCCAAGUGGUAAGGCAGCGGGUUUUGGUCCCGCCAUUCGUGGGUUCGAAUCCUACUCUCAGAA